rnacentral:rRNA from 1 species
GGGGAGUACGGGGGAUCUUUAGGAUUUAUGGUAGGAGAGCGUAGUAUGUGGCGAUGAAGCCGUACCGUAAGGAGCGGUCGAGUAAAUACUAGUGAAUAUGCAUGGCAUGAGUACGCGAUAAAAUAGGUGAGAAUCCUAUUCGCCGAAAACCCAAGGUUUCCAGGGUAAAGCUCGUCUUCCCUGGGUUAGCCGGUCCCUAAGUCGAGGCCUAAGGGCGUAGACGAUGGGAAACAGGUAAAUAUUCCUGUGCCACCUAAAACUAUAGCGAUUGGACUGACGGAGUAAGUUAAGCACGCGAGCUGUUGGAUUAGCUCGUUGGGCGUCGAGGUUGUAUGAUAGGCAAAUCCGUCAUACAUAAGACCGUGGGCGCUGACAAGGGGAGUCUUAGGACGAACCGAUGGUGUAGCGCGAUGCUUCCUGGAAAGAAGUUCUAGCUGUUGAUGGUGACCGUACCAAAUCCGACACAGGUGGGUGAGAAGAGAAUUCUAAGGCGCGCGAGAUAACUCUCGUUAAGGAACUCGGCAAAUUGUCCCCGUAACUUCGGGAGAAGGGGAGCUUUUUGUUGUGAUUAUUUUUACAAUAUGAGCGACAGAAAGUCGCAGAGAAUCAAUUCAAGCGACUGUUUAACAAAAACAUAGCACUAUGCAAAGUCGCAAAGACGAAGUAUAUAGUGUGAUGCCUGCCCAAUGCUCCAAGGUUAAAGUGAGAGGUCAACCUUUUUUGGUGAAGCUUCGAGCCCAAGCCCGGGUAAAUGGCGGCUGUAACUCUAACGGUCCUAAGGUAGCGAAAUUCCUUGUCGGGUAAGUUCCGACCUGCACGAAUGGUGUAACGACUUGAAUACUGUCUCAACGAGAGACUCGGUGAAAUUGAAGUAGCCGUGAAGAUGCGGUUUUCCCACGACAGGACGAAUAGACCCCGUGAACCUUUACUGUAGCUUGAUAUUGAAUUGCGAAUAUGUAUGUGUAGCAUAGCUGGGAGACUAUGAAACGCGCUCGUUAGGGUGCGUUGAGUCAUUAGUGAAAUACCAGUCUUAUAUAUUUGUAAUUCUAACAAUACUCCAUGAAUCUGGAGGUUGGACAUUGUCAGGUGGGCAGUUUUACUGGGGCGGUAUCCUCCCAAAAAGUAACGGAGGAGUUCAAAGCUUACUUCAUCACGAAAAGGCAACCGUGAGUUGAGUGUAAAGGCAAAAAGUAGGUUAACUGCGAGACCCGCAAGUCGAGCAGAUACGAAAGUAGGACUUAGUGAUCCGGCGGUAUAGAAUGGAAUUGCCGUCGCUUAACGGAUAAA